ensembl:lncRNA
AUAAAACAAACAAACCUUCAGAAGACCUUACAUUAUCCUUCCUUGAUUUGUAUAUUAUAGAUGUUUUGAUGUUCUUCAAGUGGAAGAUUACCGCAUUGGCGAUCCAUUAGAUACUGUAUUAGGAACAAAGACAUAGAAGAACCCUCUAUCCUUGGAACUUGGAAACAGCUACACUGGAUCCUGUGUGGAAGUUAAGGAGACUGUUGCUGUGGUGGGGGCCUGAGAACAUUAUUUCAUCCCAAUGUUGCUCUGACAUUUGUGUCUAAGAUUCAAGAAGAGUAAGAAAAAAAGUUCUGCUCCAGCACAACACCUGGAACCUUAAAGAGCAGAGAACCACUUCAUACAAUUCUAAUGCCAGAGGCUGAAGUUCAAAGAAGAGUCUGCAUCCAGCAAAAUUCUGGCUGUCCCAGGCUAGAAGUAGUGCCUCGGUCUACGAGAAGCUGCCAGCUCAGAUAUCUACGGUUAGAAUAUCUUCUCAUCGGAGGAACAGAGGUUUGGCAAGAACCAUCAGAAAGGGUGGUGAAUGGAGCUAGAGAGAUGGCUCAGUAGUUCAAAUUCCACACUGCACUUACAGAGGACCUGAGUUUAGUUCCCAGCACUUACAUUGUGAAGCUCACAAAUGCCUGUAACUCAACUCCAACACAUUACUUACCUUGUUCUGGCCUUCAAGGGAACAUGCACUUACACAUGUAAACAGUUCAAAAUAAAAUAAGUCUGAGAGAAAGAGAGAGAGACGGA